rnacentral:rRNA from 1 species
ACAGCAGUAGCCGCGGGAAUACGUAGGGUGCAAGCGUUAAUCGGAAUUACUGGGCGUAAAGCGUGCGCAGGCGGUGUUGUAAGACUGAUGUGAAAUCCCCGGGCUCAACCUGGGAACUGCAUUGGUGACUGCAACGCUGGAGUGCGGCAGAGGGGGAUGGAAUUCCGCGUGUAGCAGUGAAAUGCGUAGAUAUGCGGAGGAACACCGAUGGCGAAGGCAAUCCCCUGGGCCUGCACUGACGCUCAUGCACGAAAGCGUGGGGAGCAAACAGGAUUAGAUACCCCCGUAGUCCCUGUCUCUUAUAC